rnacentral:pre_miRNA from 9 species
UCUCGACGGCGUAAAAUUUAACUCAAAUUUGUAUGGAGUUGGAACCUUUGCCUACGGUUGCCGCUGAGGACACUGUUCCAAGAGCAUACAAAUUUGAGUUAACUUUUACGCAAUCGA